CGGGGCGUGGCGCAGUGGUAGCGCGCCUGCUUUGGGAGCAGGAAGUCGCUGGUUCAAUCCCAGUCGCCCCGACCA
rnacentral:tRNA from 1 species